UGAAUGAUACAUAGCUCAGUUCACUUUGGC
rnacentral:piRNA from 1 species